GGGGCUGUAGUUCAAUGGCAGAACUUCUGCUUCCCAAGCAGAUAGCGCGGGUUCGAUUCCCGUCAGCCCCUC
rnacentral:tRNA from 1 species